GAAAUGCGAUACGUAAUGUGAAUUGCAGAAUUUAGUGAAUCAUCGAAUCUUUGAACGCACAUUGCGCCCCUCGGUAUUCCGGGGGGCAUGCCUGUUCGAGCGUCAUUGUCACCAUUCAAGCCCUGCUUGGUCUUGAGCACCGCCGGCCAGGCGUGCUCCAAAUCGAGUGGUGGUGCCCACGGGAACCCGAGCGUAGUACAACCUCUCGCUCCGGGGCCCCGGGGGCUCCCCCCCAGCAAAACACUCAUCUGGUUGACCUCGGAUCAGGUAGGAUUACCCGCUGAACUUAA
rnacentral:misc_RNA from 1 species